rnacentral:rRNA from 1 species
AUGCCCUACAUACCGGCAGGCAUCACAAACCUAAAGGCAAAGUACCGUAGAGAGAGCAGGUUGGCUGACAUAGAAGACACGAUAGCCUACUUCGAUGAGAAAGCAAAAGCAGAUCCAGAUUUCUUCUACAGGAUAAGAUUGGACGACGAGGACCGUGUCAGGAACAUGUAUUGGGUGGAUGGUGAUGCAAGAAGAGCCUACAAACAUUUCCGAGAUUGCAUUUUGUUCGACGCGACAUAUCUCACUAAUACGUACAAGAUGCCAUGCGCUCCAUUCAUAGGAAUAAAUAACCACAAUCAGUCAUUGCAGUUCGGAUGCGGGCUCGUUCGGAAUGAAGACACGGAUGGGUACACUUGGCUGUUCAAAACCUUCUUAGAGUGCAUGGGUGGACUUGCUCCGAUGAACAUAAUAACAGACCAGGAUUUUAGCAUGCGUGCAGGCGUAGAGGAGAUCUUUUCAUGGGUAGUGCACAGGCACUGCAGGUGGCACAUUAUAAAGAAGGCUGAGAAGACGCUAGGACCGUUCUUUGCUGACCGUCUAGAGCUGCACAAGGCAUUCGAACUGUGCAUGGACCACAGCUUGACGGUGGAGGAGUUUGAACGGAGCUGGAUGGCUAUGAUUGAAACAUAUCAAGUCCAAGACAACGAGACGCUUGCUAGCCUGUGGGAGAAGCGAAUGUACUAG